rnacentral:rRNA from 1 species
AUUGAACGCUGGCGGCAGGCCUAACACAUGCAAGUCGGGCGGAUGAGGGGUGCUUGCACCCUGAUUCAGCGGCGGACGGGUGAGUAAUGCCUAGGAAUCUGCCCGAUAGUGGGGGACAACGUUUCGAAAGGAACGCUAAUACCGCAUACGUCCUACGGGAGAAAGUGGGGGCUCUUCGGACCUCACGCUAUCGGAUGAGCCUAGGUCGGAUUAGCUAGUUGGUGGGGUAAAGGCUCACCAAGGCGACGAUCCGUAACUGGUCUGAGAGGAUGAUCAGUCACACUGGAACUGAGACACGGUCCAGACUCCUACGGGAGGCAGCAGUGGGGAAUAUUGGACAAUGGGCGAAAGCCUGAUCCAGCCAUGCCGCGUGUGUGAAGAAGGUCUUCGGAUUGUAAAGCACUUUAAGUCGGGAGGAAGGGCUGCAGGUUAAUACCUUGCAGCCUUGACGUUACCGACAGAAUAAGCACCGGCUAACUUCGUGCCAGCCGCCGCGGUAA